GACGAACGCUGGCGGCGUGCCUAAUACAUGCAAGUCGAGCGAAGUUUUUCUGGUGCUUGCACUAGAAAAACUUAGCGGCGAACGGGUGAGUAACACGUAAAGAACCUGCCUCAUAGACUGGGACAACUAUUGGAAACGAUAGCUAAUACCGGAUAACAGUAUUUCUCGCAUGAGAGAUAUUUAAAAGUUGGUUAUGCUAACACUAUGAGAUGGCUUUGCGGUGCAUUAGCUAGUUGGUGGGGUAAAGGCCUACCAAGGCGACGAUGCAUAGCCGACCUGAGAGGGUGAUCGGCCACACUGGGACUGAGACACGGCCCAGACUCCUACGGGAGGCAGCAGUAGGGAAUCUUCCGCAAUGGGCGAAAGCCUGACGGAGCAACGCCGCGUGAGUGAAGAAAGAUUUCGGUUCGUAAAGCUCUGUUGUUAGGGAAGAAUGGAUAUGUAGUAACUAUACAUGUAAGAGACGGUACCUAACCAGAAAGCCACGGCUAAAC
rnacentral:rRNA from 1 species